AGAGCAGGACAGGCAGCUCCUUGAGCAUCACUAGUCCUGGGACCCACCCCAGCAGCCAGGCUCAGCCCAUUAUCAUCUUCUCUACAAUGCCCCUGCCAUUGGAGGCAGCUGGAGCCCACAGGCACACUGGGCCUGAGGCCCUCUGAUCUGUCUUUGCCUCUCUCCAGCUGGAGGAGCAGCUGAGCCGCCUUCAGCGUGAGAAGAAUGAGAUCCAGAACCGGCUGGAGGAAGAUCAGGAAGACAUGAAUGAAUUGAUGAAGAAGCACAAGGCUGCCGUGGCUCAGGCUUCCCGGGACCUGGCUCAGAUAAAUGAUCUCCAAGCUCAGCUAGAAGAAGCCAACAAAGAGAAGCAGGAGCUGCAGGAGAAGCUACAAGCCCUCCAGAGCCAGGUGGAGUUCCUGGAGCAGUCCAUGGUGGACAAGUCCCUGGUGAGCAGGCAGGAAGCUAAGAUACGGGAGCUGGAGACACGCCUGGAGUUUGAAAGGACGCAAGUGAAACGGCUGGAGAGCCUGGCUAGCCGUCUCAAGGAAAACAUGGAGAAGCUGACUGAGGAGCGGGAUCAGCGCAUUGCAGCCGAGAACCGGGAGAAGGAACAGAACAAGCGGCUACAGAGGCAGCUCCGGGACACCAAGGAGGAGAUGGGCGAGCUUGCCAGGAAGGAGGCCGAGGCGAGCCGCAAGAAGCACGAACUGGAGAUG
rnacentral:sRNA from 1 species